UACGUAGGGUGCAAGCGUUAAUCGGAAUUACUGGGCGUAAAGCGUGCGCAGGCGGUUUUGUAAGUCUGUCGUGAAAUCCCCGGGCUCAACCUGGGAAUUGCGAUGGAGACUGCAAGGCUAGAAUCUGGCAGAGGGGGGUAGAAUUCCACGUGUGAGCAGUGAAAUGCGUAGAGAGUGUGGAGGAACGACCGAUGGCGCAAGGCAGCCCCCCUGGGUCAAGA
rnacentral:rRNA from 1 species